rnacentral:rRNA from 1 species
CAGUAGCCGCGGGAAUGCGAAGGGGGCUAGCGUUGUUCGGAUUUACUGGGCGUAAAGCGCACGUAGGCGGACUUUUAAGUCAGGGGUGAAAUCCCGGGGCUCAACCCCGGAACUGCCUUUGAUACUGGAAGUCUUGAGUAUGGUAGAGGUGAGUGGAAUUCCGAGUGUAGAGGUGAAAUUCGAGGAUAUUCGGAGGAACACCAGUGGCGAAGGCGGCUCACUGGACCAUUACUGACGCUGAGGUGCGAAAGCGUGGGGAGCAAACAGGAUUAGAUACCCCGGUAGUCCCUGUCUCUUAUAC